GUCUGGGUGGCUCAAUUGGUUGAGCGUCCGACUUCAGCUCAGGUCAUGAUCUCACAGCUCGUGGGUUCGAGCCCCGCAUCGGGCU
rnacentral:tRNA from 1 species